rnacentral:lncRNA from 1 species
CUUCCUGCGACUGCAGAGAUGAAGGGAAUGAAGGUUAGCUCAUGAAUGGUAUGGGGCUGGUGUUUUGGAGUAUACUGGGGGUGGCAGCAGGGGCAACUAUUUGGGAGUUAAAAGGUCCUGGCGCUGGAUAUAGAGAUGGAUUGUGGCAAAGGACUACUAUGAGAAAAUAGAAAAGGAGGCAAGCUGUAAUUGUGUUUAUCAAUCCUUUUGAAUUUUGAAACUUCAAUUUCCACAAAAGAGCUGAUGGAUGGAUGUCAAGAAAAAUGUCGCUGGGGACUUAUUCCUUGUUGGAGUAAUUAACACACUGUUUGACCUCUGGUAACUAAAACUGC